CCUACGGGUGGCUGCAGUGGGGAAUAUUGGACAAUGGGCGAAAGCCUGAUCCAGCCAUGCCGCGUGUGUGAAGAAGGCCUUCGGGUUGUAAAGCACUUUCAGUGGGGAAGAAAGCCUUGGGGCUAAUACCCUCGAGGAAGGACAUCACCCACAGAAGAAGCACCGGCUAACUCCGUGCCAGCAGCCGCGGUAAUACGGAGGGUGCGAGCGUUAAUCGGAAUUACUGGGCGUAAAGCGCGCGUAGGCGGUCUGAUAAGCCGGUUGUGAAAGCCCCGGGCUCAACCUGGGAACGGCAUCCGGAACUGUCAGGCUAGAGUGCAGGAGAGGAAGGUAGAAUUCCCGGUGUAGCGGUGAAAUGCGUAGAGAUCGGGAGGAAUACCAGUGGCGAAGGCGGCCUUCUGGACUUACACUGACGCUGAGGUGCGAAAGCGUGGGUAGCAAACAGGAUUAGAUACCCCAGUAGUC
rnacentral:rRNA from 1 species